UGGCUAUGAGGAGAAAUUGUAAACUGAAUUACUAUGAUUGUUACUUACGCUAUUCUGAGCCAACA
ensembl:snoRNA SNORD54 small nucleolar RNA, C/D box 54